GUAACAGAAGUACUCCGUACGACCAGUUUCGGCCUGGUAAGAGGCUAAGCCCUGUUAUU
rnacentral:tRNA from 1 species